AUUUCCACAGCAAGAUGUAUUUUCGUGGGCUGACACAAAGCUUGUAUUUUUGUAACUGGAGAUGCAACAAAUGCCAUCCACAGUAAAUGGACAUACUCAUGUUGUGGCCAGGCAUGCAAACGGUCUGUUGGAUUGGUAUCAUCACUCACCGCGCAGCUUGGGAGAGCGGCUGCAGCCACGACGAGGGCCCUGCCAGACUGCGCUGCACCAGCACAUCACAAAUACAACGCCUGCCCUGAGC
rnacentral:lncRNA from 1 species